UACGGAGGGAGCUAGCGUUGUUCGGAAUUACUGGGCGUAAAGCGCACGUAGGCGGCUUUUUAAGUCGGGUGUGAAAUCCCUGGGCUCAACCCAGGAAGUGCACUCGAAACUGGCGAGCUUGAGUACUGAAGAGGGUCGCGGAAUUCCCGGUGUAGAGGUGAAAUUCGUAGAUAUCGGGAGGAACACCAGUGGCGAAGGCGGCGACCUGGGCAGAUACUGACACUGAGGUGCGAAAGCGUGGGGAGCAAACAGG
rnacentral:rRNA from 1 species